rnacentral:rRNA from 1 species
UACAGAGGUCUCAAGCGUUGUUCGGAUUCAUUGGGCGUAAAGGGUGUGUAGGUGGCGCCGUAAGUCGGGUGUGAAAUUUCGGAGCUUAACUCCGAAACUGCAUUCGAUACUGCGGUGCUUGAGGACUGGAGAGGAGACUGGAAUUCAUGGUGUAGCAGUGAAAUGCGUAGAGAUCAUGAGGAAGACCAGUGGCGAAGGCGGCGUCCUGGACCAAUACUGACACUGAGUGAGCGAAAGCCAGGGGAGCAAACGGG